GAGUAACCUAAAAUAGUGCCUUAAUAAUAGAUUAUUAAACACCUGUCUAGUGUAGCUUAGGGAGGUUUUUCUAGACUGGGAGUUUGCAGUGGAUCCCUUUGAUAUUCAAAUCAACAAAUGAUAGCCUUUUUAUUCAAAACGUAAAUUCUUUUGAUGGUUAGCUUGUUAAGAAAUAUUCAGCUCUAGUCUGACCUGAUCUGGUUUCCCAUGGAAAAGAUCUGAUGCCGUUUGAAGGUUCAUAAGUGGAAUGCCAAUGACAAUUUGUUGUUGACGUUCCGCCGCCUCAGCCCUCAGAUGCUGCUGGUUGAUGUGCCGCUUUAACUUCACCAAAUAAUCCUUGCAGAAUACUCAGGACCAGUUCCCUCAACAAAUGAUCAGAAGAAGUAAUAUGGGUUGUAGAAGUCCUUUACCUUCCUGGGAAGAUUUCACUGGUACCUUACACAAGGAAGCUUUGUCAUAUAAUAUGAUGGUUUUAUGAGUGGUUUUGCUACCUCAUUCAUCAGAGUAAUCAAUGGGGAAAGGAGCCAUAUGCGUUGUAGUCCAUUUAUAUUGAAAAGGACAGAUGGUAUUAUUGAGAGAGGACAGCAUGCAAAUUGGUAACAUACAAUAAAGAAUUGGACACUAUAGAAACACAGAAGACAAGAAGGCAUCACAACUGGGGCCUACGCAAUGACAGAUAUUCUCUUUCCUUCUCCUGCCUGGUUGGAACCAGGUGAUAUUUCAGUGUUAAUUAGUGUUAUGAUUUGGAUGUGAGGUGUCCCCAAAACCUUAUGUGUAAGACAAUGCAAGAAGGCUUAGAGGUGAAAUGAUUGGGUUAUGAGAGCUCUACUCAGUGAAUUAAUCCCCUGAUAAGGAUUCACUGAAUGGUAACUGAGGGUUGGAGAGGAUGUGACUGGAAGAAGUGAAUCAUUGGGGGCAUGUUGUUGGGAUAUACUUUUGUAUCUGUUAAGUGGAGUGUCUCUUUCUCUCUCCCUCCCUCCCCACCCCUUUCUCUCCCACCACCUUCCUGGCACAAAGUUUUGAGCCCCUUCUGUCUACCACACUUGUCCGCCAUGAUGUCCAGCCUCCCCUCAGGCUCUGAGGGAUGGAGCCAGCUGUCUAUAGACUGAGACCUUUGGGCCUCCAAAUAAACUUUUCCUCCUCUAAAA